UACGGAGGGGGCUAGCGUUGUUCGGAAUUACUGGGCGUAAAGCGCACGUAGGCGGCUUUGUAAGUUAGAGGUGAAAGCCUGGAGCUCAACUCCAGAAUUGCCUUUAAGACUGCAUCGCUAGAAUCCAGGAGAGGUGAGUGGAAUUCCGAGUGUAGAGGUGAAAUUCGUAGAUAUUCGGAAGAACACCAGUGGCGAAGGCGGCUCACUGGGCUGGUAUUGACGCUGAGGUGCGAAAGCAUUGGGAGCAAACAGG
rnacentral:rRNA from 1 species